rnacentral:lncRNA from 1 species
GUCACCAGUUCAAUUUCAAACUGGUUGUUUGCGAGGACACUGCACAGUUAGGAGUGGGGCUAUGUAGAAUAAGUAGUUAUUUGCUGAUUUGUAGAUACUUAGUUUAUAGUGUAAACAGGGAUAGAUGACUGUUAGAAAGAUAGUUCAGUAGUUAAAAUGGAUGAAUAGUUAGGAAAAGUAGUUUUCAUUAGAGAUGUAGCAGUUGGUAUCUUGUGGUAGG